rnacentral:rRNA from 1 species
GAUGAACGCUGACAGAAUGCUUAACACAUGCAAGUCUACUUGAACUUCGGUUUGGGUGGCGGACGGGUGAGUAACGCGUAAAGAACUUGCCUCACAGUUAGGGACAACAUUUGGAAACGAAUGCUAAUACCUGAUAUUAUGAUAUUAGGGCAUCCUAGGAUUAUGAAAGCUAUAUGUGCUGUGAGAGAGCUUUGCGUCCCAUUAGCUAGUUGGAGAGGUAACGGCUCACCAAGGCGAGGAUGGGUAGCCGGCCUGAGAGGGUGAACGGCCACAAGGGGACUGAGACACGGCCCUUACUCCUACGGGAGGCAGCAGUGGGGAAUAUUGGACAAUGGACCAAAAGUCUGAUCCAGCAAUUCUGUGUGCACGAUGACGUUUUUCGGAAUGUAAAGUGCUUUCAGUUGGGAAGAAAAAAAUGACGGUACCAACAGAAGAAGUGACGGCUAAAUACGUG